UACAGAGGGGGCAAGCGUUGUUCGGAAUUACUGGGCGUAAAGGGCGCGUAGGCGGCCUUCUAAGUCGAACGUGAAAUCCCCGGGCUCAACCCGGGAACUGCGUCCGAUACUGGAAGGCUUGAAUCCGGGAGAGGGAUGCGGAAUUCCAGGUGUAGCGGUGAAAUGCGUAGAUAUCUGGAGGAAUACCGAUGGCGAAGGCAGGUCUCUGGGCUAUAACUGACGCUCAUGCACGAAAGCGUGGGGAGCAAACAGG
rnacentral:rRNA from 1 species